UUGAUUGCUGUGUGCUUUACCUCUUUGAAUUAAGUGAGCUGAUAUUAGGCAUUAAUAAGGAGUGUCUUUCAUCUACAAAAGAAAAUCCUCACAAACCAGCAAAUGUCAACUGAGAAAGCCCUGCAUGGUACACAAACAGAAACAGUGCAGCUACUUUGAAGAAAUGCUUGUUGAAUCCCGCUCAACAGAAGUAGGCUAAGAGGAGCUUCCAAUCCUACUUCACCGUUUCUUAUGGCUCAGUAAGUUUGUUUUUUAUGUCAGUGAGGUGCUACAGAACUCUGUCACUAUUUAUAUAACUAGAUGAAAUGAAGCAAAUUGGCUGACAAAACUGAACUAUCCUCUUUUUUUUUUUUUAAUA